AACGAACGCUGGCGGCGUGCCUAAUACAUGCAAGUCGCACGAGAAAGUCCUUCGGGACGAGUAGAGUGGCGCACGGGAGAGUAAUACAUCGGAACGUACCUUUUGGUGGGGGAUAACCACGGGAAACUGUGGCUAACACCGCAUAAUGACGUGAGUCUAAACCAGGCCUCUAUUUAUAAGCUUGGGCCAAUCGAGCGGCCGAUGCCCCAUUAGCUAGUUGGUAGGGUAAUGGCCUACCAAGGCGACGAUGGGUAGCUGGUCUGAGAGGAUGAUCAGCCUCACUGGGACUGAGACACGGCCCAGACUCCUACGGGAGGCAGCAGUAGGGAAUUUUGCACAAUGGGCGCAAGCCUGAUGCAGCAACGCCGCGUGAGUGAAGAAGGCUCUUGGGUUGUAAAGCUCUUUCGGCCAAGAGGAAGGGUCUACUUUGCGAACAGUCUGUAGAUCUGACGGUAUUGGAAGAAGAAGCACCUGCUAACUUCGUGCC
rnacentral:rRNA from 1 species